rnacentral:rRNA from 1 species
CCUACGGGAGGCAGCAGUGGGGAAUUUUGGACAAUGGGCGCAAGCCUGAUCCAGCCAUGCCGCGUGUCUGAAGAAGGCCUUCGGGUUGUAAAGGACUUUUGUUAGGGAAGAAAAGGAUAGUGUUAAUACCAUUAUCUGCUGACGGUACCUAAAGAAUAAGCACCGGCUAACUACGUGCCAGCAGCCGCGGUAAUACGUAGGGUGCGAGCGUUAAUCGGAAUUACUGGGCGUAAAGCGAGCGCAGACGGUUUAUUAAGCAAGAUGUGAAAUCCCCGAGCUUAACUUGGGAACUGCGUUUUGAACUGGUAAGCUAGAGUAUGUCAGAGGGGGGUAGAAUUCCACGUGUAGCAGUGAAAUGCGUAGAGAUGUGGAGGAAUACCGAUGGCGAAGGCAGCCCCCUGGGAUAAUACUGACGUUCAUGCUCGAAAGCGUGGGUAGC